rnacentral:lncRNA from 1 species
GGGUGGCAGAUCUCACUAGCCACUUGUGUGGGAUGCUAAUACAAAGAUGUGGGUGCUCAUUUAGAAAAUGAGUCCACUGAAUUGAUUCGAUGAAAGAGAACAUCUUAUGGAAGUCUUACUUGCGUGUCAAAGAUGGUUCUCUAAAUGAGAGUUAUGCAAAUGAUCCUUAAAUCUGAGACCACCAUGGAAUCUAGUACAC